AAAAGACUUGUUCUCUCUCUCAUGAAUGAGUUUGUUUAUGCUCGGUGAAAGGGAUAGUUUCUUGAUUAGGGUUCAUUGUUAUCACUAUUGCUAUUAUUACAAGCUUUCAUUAUCAAUCUUUUUAACUUUUGAAUUCAAUUUCAUUCUAAUUAAUAAUCAAUCAUUCGUUCUCCGUCAUUCAUCACAACACAACGCUAAAUUACCUCACAACACAACGCAACACAACACGUUCUUGCAACCCGCUCACUCGACUCGCUCCGUAACUCGUUCUCUUCGUUUUCGACUUUUUCAUCAUGCCGAAGGCUAAAGCUGAUUCUAAAUCCGCUGAUAACAGAGUAAGGGUGCAGGAACAUGAAGGAAACAAAUGAACAAAGUCGCUAAGGAUCCUAACAAGCCGAAGAAUCCUCCAAGUGUUUUAUUCGUUUUCAUGUAUGAUUAGUCGAACCCUAGAAAUUAGAUUUGAACUGUCCCCUAAAAUCUACACGGAAUAUCACAUGCUAUUUUAGGGUUUCAUGAUUCUGAAUGCAAUCUACAUGUGAAUGCUUCAUAACCUAACAUGUAAAUGGAGAAGACCCUUGGUGCCUUAGAUGGAAAAUUGAAUAUAUGUGAAUUUAGUUCCGUAUUCAUUUCCAAGUUAUUUGGUAGUUUCUUGCUGCUUAAAAGAGCUACAGAAAUAAAGAAAGCUUCUAAAUGAGUGAUUGUUGAACUGAAUUCAACUGAGUAGAAUCCAUCUUUCAAUGGCUACAAAAUGAAUAAAGGACAUGUGGCUGAUUGAUUGAUAUAUACACUAUUAUCAUCAAAUCUUUUUUGGCUGCGGUUCGUGAUUCUGAAAUCAGGCUUACCAAAUACGCAGAUUGGUUUGAAUGCAAUUUCUAGAUCAUUUUCACAGAGAAGUAUGGCAAAAAAGAUACAGGUCAUUGGAAAGGCUCGCGUGCCAAUUAUUAAAUUCGUUGAAAAGAAGAGUGGUCUUUCCCGUUAUACGCUUAUUGCUUAUGCCACUUAAUGAUGUUAAUGUCAUUAUAAUAUUUUAGCUUACUGUUAAUUUAUUUAUAUAAUUGUAUAUGAUAUUAGGUUAGAUGUUGGAUGAAGUAUUUAACUUGAACCUCUCUGCAUAUGUUGAUUUUUUAUGAUUUUCUGUAUUUGCGCAAACUACUAAUUGAAACUUCUGAAAAAUACAUGAUGACUUUUAAUUUAUUGUCUGUAUUGGGGAGUGGGGUUAUUUUGCAAUACCAUAUGCUGUAUCUGUCGUGGGAAAAUUUCUGUGACAUGGUAUAUAAUAUGCACCAUAUGAAGGCGUUAUAUUGUGAACUGUGUUAUAUUGAUCAAGCCAUCAAGGUGCUAAGAAGUGAUAUUUCUUUAAUUUAAGGGACCUAUUAAGAAACCUAAAAGAGAAAGUUUUAUGUUGAAAAAAUAACUAUUUAGACUUUUUAGAAGUUGACUACACAAUUUUCAAUAAAAUACACUACUAUAUUAGGUUCCUUAACAAGUGCCCUAAUUUAAUUAAUAGUUAAUUAAAGAAAUACAACAACUUGGAAGCAUAUAAUGACACGCCACUUUUACAUCAUUUUCGUGUAGGAUUAUAUUACAGCUUGCAUGUGGUACUUGAAUUAUUGCCUGAGGGUUCUUAUUUGAAUUACAUAUGUCAUCUCGAGUUGUUUUGCUUGAUUAGAGUACUCUAACUUCAAACUUUUUUAUUCAAUAUUCUAUUAUUUUUGUUUCAAAUUCCAAGUCAUGAAUGUAUUGCCCCUAGUGUGGGCAACACGUUCCUAUUUCUGCAUUGCACAUUUUUUAAAUUAUUCACAAUACCUUUGAAGUUAAAAUUCCAAUAAGAUUUGAAAACAAAAGCCCUCGAAAUACAAACAUUUUUAAAACUCUACCUGCACUGAGAAAUAUCUCUUUUUCCCAUUUUCUUGAAGGUAUAAAAAUUAAAAUGAACAAAAUAAAUUCUUUUGGGGAUUCAGUGUUGGACUUUACAUUAUGUAUAUUCUUCUUCUCGGUUGAACCAAUGAAUUUGCAGGAAGCAGUGGCUAAGUGGCCUCAACUGCAGCCGUUGUGUUUGAUUUUGAAAGUAUUUUUACACCAAUGAGAACUUAAUGAGUAUGCAGGUAUAUUCUGGUGGGAUUGGUUCGUAUGCUCUCCUUACCAUGCCGAUGGCGAUGUUACGGCCUUCACCAUAUGGUCCACUUACAUAUGAUCCAGCUACAUAUCAACAAAAAUGGAUCUUAAAGUUCACUUUUUUUUCUCUUUUUUUUUUCUUUUGCUUUUGUGCUGUGAAACACUUGUUUUCACCUAUGUCGUCUCUAAGUCCGUGACCAUUACAUUCUUCAGAAUGUUCAUCAGAACCAACCUACUGCAGAGCACAACUUCGGGGUCCUUUUGGUACAUUUCUUUGAUGUUUAUGGACGUAAAUUAAAUACCUUCAGAUGUUGGUGUACCGUGCAUUGGAGAAGGUACCUUUUUCUGAAAGAGCAGUAGAGGGUUUUACAACAAAGCACAGUCAUUUCUUCUCAGCAUUCAGGAUCCGAUAAGGUUCUCUUUGAUGAACUGCCUUUUGUCUUUGUCUGAUCCAGACAGAAGCUGCGAUUGCUUCGAGUCUGAUACGGGCUGACGAUUUGCAGAAUGCUACCGCGACUGAGCCUGGGCGAUUCGAAUGUAAUAAUUUUGCAUCCCUUUGCGUCGCAUGUUAAUAAAUUUGGGAUUGGAAUAUACAUCCGUGACGACCUUGGUCAAUUUGUGCUUUCAAAGUCAUAAUAGAUUGUCCUUCUUUGUGGAGUGGAUGCUGGUGAACCCCUUUUGGUCUGAUGUAGAUAGAACCUACGACUGCUUCGGGUCUGAUACGGCCUAGUCUUUGCCGAAUGCUACAGCGGCCGAGCCUGGUGCGGCAAAGUUAAUUGGAAAAGGGCAAUAAAAAUGUCUGAUACAUGUAGAACCUAUGACUGCUUCGGGUCUGAUAUGGGCUAGUCGUUUACCGACUGCUACAGUGUCUGAGCCUCAUGCGGCGCAGACAUAUUGGGCUGCUGUUAAUUGGAAAAGGGCAAUUCAAAUGUAAGAUUGAUGCAUCGUCUGCAACGCAUUGCAUUUUCAAUGUGAAUGCUUAUUGAUAACUACAAAAGUAAGUUGAGAAUACCCUUGGCGCCUUAGAUGCAAGAUUGAAUAUAUGUCCCUCAAUGUCCGUAAAUUGAAUAUAUGUUCCUCGAUGUGAUCUGAAUGCAAUUUCAAUGUGAGUGCUUAAUCUUGAUUAUCCGACAAUGUGGUAAAUUGGGGAAUCUUGAUUAUUCAAACAUAAGAAGGCUAAUUUGGCAAGUAAGAAAUUGUGUAAUGGCUAGAGGAAUUCUUAAGACCAUACUCCGUUUUCCACAACGAAAUUUCUCUUGACAUUCCCCAAGUCUAUUCGGUUUAUUCAUUUACCCCUGAUUUCUUCUCCCUUGAUGUCAUCGGAGAAACUGAAGCCGAAGAUACCCUCCUCGAGCCUAUCACGCUGGUUGAGCCGAAGUCGCCGACUAUUGAACACGAGCUGACGCUAGGUGGUUGGUUUCAUGGGAAUUGCAAAUUCAGGAGCCCAUGCUUCAGCUUCAUAUAGAGAUAGUGAAUUUUUGUCACCUACUCCAGAAGAGAAAGCUAAACGUGUUGAAGCAAUAGAAUCUGUUUUUGGAGUUAUAAAAUAUAUAUGGCCUCAUUAUCAGGUUCUGAAGUUAACUGCACUUAUCACUACGAAUUUUCAAGGGUUGAGUGUUCCCCUUCCCCUCAUGCUAUAUGCAUCCAGAAAUUAUGUUACUGUAUGUAAAUUUAAUAAUACCUUUAUAUUGCUUUUAAGCCAAUAAUAUAUUAUUUGCAAUUCGUAUUGUUUUAUACUUUGAAGUAUAUUAAAUUAUGCAAAUGAUGUUUCCUAUGUUCGUUGUAGAAGGUAUGAAUAACUACAACUUACUGCAUAAUUAUAUUUAUAAGGCUAUAAAUGGUAGCAGUCUCAUUAUGUAAAAUAAUAUCUUAUUGCAUUUUUUAUAGUAUUUAAAUAAUGAUAUGUAAUCCCAUAAGUACAACUCAGUUUAUAACUACAAAGACAUAGAUUUGCUGAUCAUGAGUUCAAACUCAGAAUUCUUCAUUUUUAACACUUAAGGUGAAAAUCAAUCCAUGUGUAAUAUAAAGUGAAAAUUUUAUAAGUAUGUAUUUAAGAACCAUUAUUGUUAUUAUUAAUUUCUUUUUUGUUGGUAAAAAUUGUUAUUAUUUCCAUUAUUAUUA